UACAGAGGGGGCAAGCGUUGUUCGGAAUUACUGGGCGUAAAGCGCGUGUAGGUGGUGGGCCAAGUCUGUGGUGAAAUCGCCCGGCUCAACUGGGCGAGGUCCGUGGAAACUGGUCGACUGGAGGACGGUAGAGGCGAGUGGAAUUCCCGGUGUAGUGGUGAAAUGCGUAGAGAUCGGGAGGAACACCAGUGGCGAAGGCGGCUCGCUGGGCCGGUCCUGACACUGAGACGCGAAGGCGUGGGGAGCGAACGGG
rnacentral:rRNA from 1 species